rnacentral:rRNA from 1 species
CCUACGGGCGGCAGCAGUGAGGAAUAUUGGUCAAUGGACGAGAGUCUGAACCAGCCAAGUAGCGUGAAGGAUGACUGCCCUAUGGGUUGUAAACUUCUUUUAUAUGGGAAUAAAAUGUUCCACGUGUGGGAUUUUGUAUGUACCAUAUGAAUAAGGAUCGGCUAACUCCGUGCCAGCAGCCGCGGUAAUACGGAGGAUCCGAGCGUUAUCCGGAAUUAUUGGGUUUAAAGGGAGCGUAGGUGGAUUGUUAAGUCAGUUGUGAAAGUUUGCGGCUCAACCGUAAAAUUGCAGUUGAAACUGGCAGUCUUGAGUACAGUAGAGGUGGGCGGAAUUCGUGGUGUAGCGGUGAAAUGCUUAGAUAUCACGAAGAACUCCGAUUGCGAAGGCAGUUCACUGGACUGCAACUGACACUGAGGCUCGAAAGUGUGGGUAUCAAACAGGAUUAGAUACCCUAGUAGUC